rnacentral:rRNA from 1 species
CCAGACUCCUACGGGAGGCAGCAGUGGGGAAUAUUGCACAAUGGGGGGAACCCUGAUGCAGCGACGCCGCGUGAGUGAAGAAGUAAUUCGUUAUGUAAAGCUCUAUCAGCAGGGAAGAAAAUGACGGUACCUGAAGAAGAAGCCCCGGCUAACUACGUGCCAGCAGCCGCGGUAAUACGUAGGGGGCAAGCGUUAUCCGGAUUUACUGGGUGUAAAGGGAGCGUAGACGGUUGUGCAAGUCAGAAGUGAAAGCCCGGGGCUCAACUCCGGGACUGCUUUUGAAACUGUGAAACUGGAGUGCAGGAGAGGUAAGCGGAAUUCCUGGUGUAGCGGUGAAAUGCGUAGAUAUCAGGAGGAACACCAGUGGCGAAGGCGGCUUACUGGACUGUAACUGACGUUGAGGCUCGAAAGCGUGGGGAGCAAACAGGAUUAGAUACCCCGGUAAGG